rnacentral:rRNA from 1 species
CCUACGGGAGGCAGCAGUGAGGAAUAUUGGGCAAUGGGCGUAAGCCUGAACCAGCCAAGUCGCGUGAGGGAUGAAGGUUCUAUGGAUCGUAAACCUCUUUUAUAAGGGAAUCAAGUGCGGGACGUGUCCCGUUUUGUAUGUACCUUAUGAAUAAGGAUCGGCUAACUCCGUGCCAGCAGCCGCGGUAAUACGGAGGAUCCGAGCGUUAUCCGGGUUUAUUGGGUUUAAGGGGUGCGUAGGCGGCCUUGUAAGUCAGCGGUGAAAGUCUGUGGCUAAACCAUAGAAUUGCCGUUGAAACUGGUAGGCUUGAGUAUGUUUGAGGCAGGCGGAAUGCGGGGUGUAGCGGGGAAAUGCUUAGAUAUCACGCAGAACCCCGAUUGCGAAGGCAGCCUGCCAAGCCAUGACUGACGCUGAUGCACGAAAGCGUGGGGAUCAAACAGGAUUAGAUACCCUGGUAGUC